AGUCGGCGUACAGGGCCGGGCACGCGUGCCCAAUCCGGUGCCGAGGGGGAUGAGCCUCGCCAGCAGCGGCCUAUGGCCGGAAAGGCGGAACAUCAAGUGUCGGGCGAUAGGGUUUGGUAGGCCGUAUAAACGGCUCGAAGAAGCCUGGCCCG
ncrna:Paraprevotella clara YIT 11840 RT-3 RNA